GCCGCGAGGUGGAGCAAAUCUCAAAAAGACCGUCCCAGUUCGGAUCGCAGGCUGCAACCCGCCUGCGUGAAGUUGGAAUCGCUAGUAAUCGCGGAUCAGCAUGCCGCGGUGAAUACGUUCCCGGGCCUUGUACACACCGCCCGUCACACCAUGAGAGUCGGGAACACCCGAAGUCCGUAGCCUAACCGCAAGGGGGGCGCGGCCGAAGGUGGGUUCGAUAAUUGGGGUGAAGUCGUAACAAGGUAAC
rnacentral:rRNA from 1 species